GUUUAGCCCUGAUUGAAAUGACAUCCUUUUUAUAGUCUUUUUAGAAAAGCGUCAUUACGAGGAACGAAGUAAUCUGUUUUUAAUUAAGAGAUUGCCACAGUUUACAAAAAGUAAACUUCGCAAUGACAGAAAUAAAAAGAUAUAAUGGAAAGCAGGAAAUAGC
rnacentral:sRNA from 1 species